UACGGGGGGGGCAAGCGUUGUUCGGAAUUACUGGGCGUAAAGGGCUCGUAGGUGGCCAACUAAGUCAGACGUGAAAUCCCUCGGCUUAACCGGGGAACUGCGUCUGAUACUGGACGGCUUGAGUUUGGGAGAGGGACGCGGAAUUCCAGGUGUAGCGGUGAAAUGCGUAGAUAUCUGGAGGAACACCGGUGGCGAAGGCGGCGUCCUGGACCAACACUGACACUGAGGAGCGAAAGCCAGGAGAGCAAACGGG
rnacentral:rRNA from 1 species